rnacentral:rRNA from 1 species
UACGUAGGGGGCGAGCGUUGUCCGGAUUUAUUGGGCGUAAAGAGCGUGUAGGCGGCUUGGUAGGUCUGCUGUGAAAACUCGGGGCUCAACCCCGAGACGUCGGUGGAAACCACCUGGCUAGAGUCCGGAAGAGGAGAGUGGAAUUCCGUGGUGUAGCGGUGAAAUGCGCAGAUAUCAGGAAGAAUAUCCGUGGCGAAGGCGGCUCUCUGGUACGGCACUGACGCUGAGACGCGAAAGCGUGGGGAGCGAACAGG